GAGUUUGAUCUUGGCUCAGGAUGAACGUUGGCGGCGUGCCUAACACAUGCAAGUCGAACGGAAAUAGCAAUAUUUGAGUGGCGCACGGGUGAGUAACACGUAGCUAAUCUACCUCAAAGCGCGGGAUAACGUGUCGAAAGACAGGCUAAUACCGCAUAAGCUCCCGGUCUGUAGAGGGUUGGGAGAAAAGGCGCAAGUCACUUUGAGAUGAGGCUGCGGCCCAUCAGCUAGUUGGUGCGGUAACGGCGUACCAAGGCGACGACGGGUAGGGGACCUGAGAGGGUGACCCCCCACACUGGGACGUGAGACACGGCCCACGACUCCUACCGGGAGGGCAGCAGUGAGGAAUAUUGCACAAUGGGCGGCAAGCCUGAUGCAGCGACGCCGCGUGGGUGAAGAAGGUUUUCGGAUCGUAAAACCCUUUUCUGUGUGACGAGAACGGACGGUAGCACAGGAAUAAGUCUCGGCUAACUACGUGCCAGCAGCCGCGGU
rnacentral:rRNA from 1 species